CCUACGGGAGGCAGCAGUAGGGAAUAUUGCUCAAUGGGGGAAACCCUGAUGCAGCAACGCCGCGUGGAGGAUGAAGGUUUUCGGAUUGUAAACUCCUUUUGUUAGAGAAGAUAAUUACGGUAUCUAACGAAUAAGCACCCGCCAACGCCGUGCCAGCAGCCGCGGUUAUACGGAGGGUGCAAGCGUUACUCGGAAGCACUGGGCGUAAAGAGCGCGUAGGCGGGAUAGCAAGUCAGAUGUGAAAUCCUAGGGCUUAACCAUAGAACUGCAGUUGAAACUGUUAUUCUUGAGUAUGGGAGAGGUAGGUGGAAUUCUUGGUGUAGGGGUAAAAUCCGUAGAGAUCAAGAGGAAUACUCAUUGCGAAGGCGACCUGCUAGAACAUAACUGACGCUGAUGCGCGAAAGCGUGGGGAGCAAACAGGAUUAGAUACCCGGGUAGUC
rnacentral:rRNA from 1 species